rnacentral:rRNA from 1 species
CCUACGGGGGGCAGCAGUAGGGAAUCUUUCACAAUGGGCGAAAGCCUGAUGGAGCAACGCCGCGUGCAGGAUGAAGGCCUUCGGGUUGUAAACUUCUUUUAUAAGCGAGAAAUAUGAUGGUAACUUAUGAAUAAGGAUCGUCUAACUACUUGUCAGCAGCCGCGGUCAUACGUAGGAUCCGAGCAUUAUCCGGAGUGACUGGGGGUAAAGAGUUGCGUAUGUGGCAUAAUAAGUAGCUAGGGGAAUCUGGUGGCUCGACCAAUCAGACUAUUAUCUAAACUGUUAAGCUCGAGAACGUUAGGGGUAACUGGAAUUGCUAGUGUAGGAGUGAAAUCCGUAGAUAUUAGAAGGAACACCAAUAGCGAAGGCAGGUUGCUGGGACGGUUCUGACGCUAAGGCACGAAAGCGUAGGGAGCAAACGGGAUUAGAGACCCGGGUAGUC